rnacentral:rRNA from 1 species
CACGUAGGAGGCGAGCGUUGUCCGGAAUCAUUGGGCGUAAAGAGCGCGCAGGCGGCUUGGCAAGUCGGGUGUGAAAUCCCGGGGCUCAACCCCGGGACUGCAUUCGAUACUGUCAGGCUAGAGGUAGGUAGGGGAGAUCGGAAUUCCUGGUGUAGCGGUGAAAUGCGCAGAUAUCAGGAGGAACACCGGUGGCGAAGGCGGUUCUCUGGGCAUGACCUGACGCUGAGGAGCGAAAGUGUGGGGAGCGAACAGG